GUAAGGAAUAUUGGACAAUGGACGCAAGUCUGAUCCAGCCAUGCCGCGUGAAGGAUUAAGGUCCUCUGGAUUGUAAACUUCUUUUAUAAGGGACGAAAAAAGGCUUUUCUAAGUCGUCUGACGGUACCUUAUGAAUAAGCACCGGCUAACUCCGUGCCAGCAGCCGCGGUAAUACGGAGGGUGCAAGCGUUAUCCGGAUUCACUGGGUUUAAAGGGUGCGUAGGCGGGCAGGUAAGUCAGUGGUGAAAUCCUAGAGCUUAACUCUAGAACUGCCAUUGAUACUAUCUGUCUUGAAUAUUGUGGAGGUAAGCGGAAUAUGUCAUGUAGCGGUGAAAUGCUUAGAUAUGACAUAGAACACCUAUUGCGAAGGCAGCUUACUACGCAUAUAUUGACGCUUAGGCACGAAAGCGUGGGGAUCAAACAGGAUUAGAUACCCUUGUAGUCC
rnacentral:rRNA from 1 species